rnacentral:rRNA from 1 species
GGAUUAGAUACCCUGGUAGUCCACGCCGUAAACGAUGUCAACUAGCUGUCUGUGAACUUGAUUCGUGGGUAGCGUAGCUAACGCGCUAAGUUGACCGCCUGGGGAGUACGGCCGCAAGGUUAAAACUCAAAUGAAUUGACGGGGGCCCGCACAAGCGGUGGAGCAUGUGGUUUAAUUCGAUGCAACGCGAAGAACCUUACCAUCCCUUGACAUCCAGCGAAUUUUCUAGAGAUAGAAUUGUGCCUUCGGGAACGCUGAGACAGGUGCUGCAUGGCUGUCGUCAGCUCGUGCCG